rnacentral:ncRNA from 2 species
CUGCUGCUGCUGCUGCUG